GAUGAACGCUGGCGGCGUGCUUAACACAUGCAAGUCGAACGAAGCACCUCUCCCGAAGAUUGACACAGCUUGCUGUAGCUUGAUUCAUUUGAGGUGACUGAGUGGCGGACGGGUGAGUAACGCGUGGGUAACCUGCCUCAUAGAGGGGGACAACAGUUGGAAACGACUGCUAAUACCGCAUAGUAAGAAGAAUUCGCAUGUUUUCUUCUUGAAAGAUUUAUCGCUAUGAGAUGGACCCGCGUCUGAUUAGCUAGUUGGUAAGGUAACGGCUUACCAAGGCGACGAUCAGUAGCCGGCUUGAGAGAGUGAACGGCCACAUUGGGACUGAGACACGGCCCAAACUCCUACGGGAGGCAGCAGUGGGGAAUAUUGCACAAUGGGGGAAACCCUGAUGCAGCGACGCCGCGUGAGUGAAGAAGUAUUUCGGUAUGUAAAGCUCUAUCAGCAGGGAAGAUAAUGACGGUACCUGACGAAGAAGCCCCGGCUAACUACGUG
rnacentral:rRNA from 1 species